CACCACAAAACUACAAUGUGAUGAUGUGGCCAAAGAUCGGACGCAUUUACCUAGAAGAUGCCUAUUCACUCUUGUUUUAAAGAUACUCGGAUUG